rnacentral:rRNA from 1 species
UACAGAGGUCUCAAGCGUUGUUCGGAUUCAUUGGGCGUAAAGGGUGCGUAGGCGGCGCGGUAAGUCGGGUGUGAAAUCUCGGAGCUUAACUUCGAAACUGCAUUCGAUACUGCCGUGCUUGAGGACUGGAGAGGAGACUGGAAUUUACGGUGUAGCAGUGAAAUGCGUAGAUAUCGUAAGGAAGACCAGUGGCGAAGGCGGGUCUCGUGGACAGUUCCUGACGCUGAGGCACGAAGGCCAGGGGGAGCAAACGGG